rnacentral:lncRNA from 1 species
GUGUUCAUCAACUUCAUUCAAAAUCGUGAAGAACAAGUGUGCCCAGAAAAUGAAAUGACACAUACCAACACGACAAACAAGCAUCACUCAUGCAUAUUCUAAAAACCAUAAUCAUCAAAUCGAACUAACACAGAAGAAUCAUACAAAAACAACUUUGAACAUGACACUUUAAAAUCAGAUUUCUUCCACAUAACUCAACCAUUUAACACGAUUCUAGGUUCAUAACACUCAGCAAUGCAAGGACUACACAUGGC